GUCUUAAUUGGGCGUUAAGUUGCAGGGUAUAGACCCGAAACCCGGUGAUCUAGCCAUGGGCAGGUUGAAGGUUGGGUAACACUAACUGGAGGACCGAACCGACUAAUGUUGAAAAAUUAGCGGAUGACCUGUGGCUGGGGGUGAAAGGCCAAUCAAACCGGGAGAUAGCUGGUUCUCCCCGAAAGCUAUUUAGGUAGCGCCUCGUGAAUUCAUCUCCGGGGGUAGAGCACUGUUUCGGCUAGGGGGCCAUCCCGGCUUACCAACCCGAUGCAAACUGCGAAUACCGGAGAAUGUUAUCACGGGAGACACACGGCGGGUGCUAACGUCCGUCGUGAAGAGGGAAACAACCCAGACCGCCAGCUAAGGUCCCAAAGUCAUGGUUAAGUGGGAAACGAUGUGGGAAGGCCCAGACAGCCAGGAUGUUGGCUUAGAAGCAGCCAUCAUUUAAAGAAAGCGUAAUAGCUCACUGGUCGAGUCGGCCUGCGCGGAAGAUGUAACGGGGCUAAACCAUGCACCGAAGCUGCGGCAGCGAACGUAUCACUUAAAGCGAUUCAGCGGGUUACGAUUGACGGAGCGAAGCGACGUCAAAGCGUAUACAAAGUCGAGUCGGUUUAAGGAUACGUUCGUUGGGUAGGGGAGCGUUCUGUAAGCCUGUGAAGGUGUGUCGUGAGGCAUGCUGGAGGUAUCAGAAGUGCGAAUGCUGACAUAAGUAACGAUAAAGCGGGUGAAAAGCCCGCUCGCCGGAAGACCAAGGGUUCCUGUCCAACGUUAAUCGGGGCAGGGUGAGUCGACCCCUAAGGCGAGGCCGAAAGGCGUAGUCGAUGGGAAACGGGUUAAUAUUCCCGUACUUGGUGUUACUGCGAAGGGGGGACGGAGAAGGCUAUGUUGGCCGGGCGACGGUU
rnacentral:rRNA from 1 species